AGGGCUCACAUGUGCGAGAGAUAUUUCUGCAUGCAGAAGUAAGCAACAAAUUGUGAUAAUUGAUUUCAAAUGAAUAAGACAAGAAAAUACAAACUGCAUAGCUCAGCAUUUAUUUGGUGCCAUCAAAAUAUAUUUCAAGGAACAGUAUUGUACACGACAUCACGAUGAGGAAGAACAUGAUCCACACCCUGAACCCUGCGUCCUUCCUCAUUGCCUCUCGGACCUGUCAGAGAAGACGCAUUUAGUUCUUGUCAUAAGCUGCGCCAAUGUAGUGAUCUACACAAAGACCUGGCGAAGGAGCAAUCUGGAGUCACCUGAACAUUAAGAUCAAGAUCAAGGACUAAUUACUCCUGCACACACAAGAAUACUGGGUGAACGAAUGAAGUCAUAGUAAAAUACGAAUGAGAUGGAGUUUGAAAAUCUGAAUGUUAUACCUUGGGUGAAGGGCAAGCAACUUGGAAUGCAUGAAUCACUACUAAUUGACUACAUGUUGGUAAUGGAAGAAUACAUGAAAAUGUUGACACCAGAGCUAAAUACAGACUAGGAGAUAUACAAACAGACUGGGUGAAGAGUGAGAGAGUUAGGUAAGGAUGUGUAUAUUAUUAUUACCAACCCUUUUCAGCCUCUAAACAGGAGUUAGCAGCUAGAUUGAGAAGAAUGAAUGCAGGAGUAACUGUGGUGAAUGACAAGAUAUGUGUACUUCUUCAUGCAGAUGAUGUAGUGGUCAUGAGUGACAACAGAUGAGCAGCAAAGUUUUUUGUUGGAUGUUUUGGAUGGAUAUGGAAGACACUUUGGAGUUUAGUUAGUAAUGAGAAGAAAAGUAAGGUAAUAAUGAUAAAUAGGUCAGAGGAUGAAAGUAAUGUAGUGUGGAGAAUUGGAGAAAAUGAGUUGAAAGCAGGCACAAGAAUAUAAAUGCUGGGAAUGUGGGUGAGUCUGAAUGGAUGUGAAAAGGCAAAGAAUGAAAAAGAUAAGCAAGCUUGUUGAACCAGUGGGUAGGGCAACUGGGAAGUGCAGCUAGAAUGAGAGCAACUAAACAUGAUGUACUGAGAGAAGUGUGUUAGUGUGUGGCUGUGCCCAGUAUAUUGCGUGGUAUGGAUAUUACAUGGAACAGAGGUGAAAUUAUCAAGUUACCAGUGGGGCACAACAGAGUAGCUACAAUGGCACUGAACACACCAAAGUCCACAGCAAUAGAAGCUUUGACAGGUGAUGUGGGAUGAAGCAUUUACAGAGAAAGACUAAUAAAAGCAACACUCUGGUACAAGAUUAGGUUGAAGAGAAUGGAUGAUGGAAAAAUAGCAACAAGGGUAUAUCUGUGGUAUGAAAGUGGAAGCAAAUGGAGGAAGAGGUGCAUGUGAAUGACAGGAGUGGAUUACAAUUUGUAUAUGGGGGAUGAGAAUGGCUAGGAAGAAUCAAAUCCCACUCUGCCUUCUCUUGUCUAUCCAUUUUGAUUUCCCCCCAGCUAUUCUCAUCCCCAUAUAUAACUUGUAAUCCACUCCAGUCAGUCAUUCUCAUGCAUCUCUUCUAUUUGCUUCUAUUUUCAUUCCACAGGUACAUCUUUCUCGCUCUUUUUUUCACCAUCCAUUCUCUCCAACCCAAUCCUGUACCAAGUGUUGCUUUUAUUAGUCUUUCCCUAAAAGUGCUCCAUCCCGCAUCACCUUUUCAAGCUUCUCUGCUGUGUACCUUGGUGUGUUUAGUGCCAUUGUAAACUAUUUUGCCUCUGCUAAUUUAUCAAUUUCACUUUAUUCCAUGCAAUCACAUCCAUACCACACAUUACACUGGGCAUGGCCACACUCUUCCACACUCCUCUUGAUAAAUUAUAUUUACUUGCUCUCAUUCUAGCUGCACUCCCCAUUUACCUACCCAUUGGUUCACCAAGCUUAUCUUUUAAUUUUUUUUGCAUUUUCACAUCCAGUAAGACUCAUCCACAUCCCCAAGUACUUAUAUUCUUGCACCUAUUUCAACUAUUUCUUUCUAAUUCUCGACACUACAUUACUUUUAUCCUCUAACCUAUUCUCUAUCAUUACCUUACUUUUCUCAUUACAAAUCAAACUCCAGUCUCUUCCAUAUCCAUCCAGAACAUCCAACAAACUUUGCUGCUCAUUUGUUGUCACUCAUGACCACUGCAUCAUUCUUCUCAAUCUGGUUGCUAACUCCUCUGUCUAGAGGCUGAAAAGAAUUGGUGACAAUAUGCAUCCUUGCCUAACUCCUCUCUCACUUUUCACCCAGUCCGUGUAUAUCUCCUGGUCUGUAUUUAGCUCUGGUGUCAAAAUUAUAAAUAUAAUUUACCUCCAUCCUUUCUUUUCCUCUCAAUCAUUUCAUUCACCACAAACACCCUCAACUUCUCAUUCAACACCGUACUAAACACUUUAUAUAUAGGCUGAUUACAUUAUUUACUACAGUAGGUAGUUCAACUCAUUCUUCUUACUCUUGUAUCCCUACAUUCAUUUUGCAUCCUUGGUUCUCUCCUAACCUAACCUAACCUAACCACACCUAAUUAAAUACCUCAGUCAUCCUGUCAAUCACAACCUUCCCACCAUUUUUAUACAUACCAUAUGGUAUCCUAUUUGGCCCUACAAGCUUCCCAUUCUCCUGACUUUAAACACAUCUCUGGACCACCACCUUGCUGAUUCUCAUUCACUUCAUCUGCAUUUUUCCCUCUCCAGUGUCAAACCUCCUUCUCUCACACCAAAAUCCUCACCUCCACCACCAACUUCUUCCCAGAACUGUCUGACUGCCUCCCUGAUUCCUUCUUUCCUCUGUUACAACUUCACCAUUCACUUUCAGACUCUCCAAACCAAUAUUUCCUGAGAUAUUCCCACCUCUCAUGAACUUGUACCAUUCAGGGCCACCUUCCAUGCCUUUCUCUCUCUUAAUUACUCAAACGCACUCCUUUCACACACUAGCCUAAACUAUCUUUUGCCUUGUAAGUUUGUUGUUUCACAUAUGCAGCCCAUGCAUUCUGGUACUCAUUCUCUGCCUCAUUGCUUUCAUUUUUUUUUUCCUUGACCAUCUGCACUGUUUACUCAUUCUCUUUCAUUCCUUCUUGGUCUCUCUUAUUUCAUGCUUCCACCAUGGUUUAUUUUACAUGCUCUCUUCUGCCACUCACAGAAAUCCUAUGUGAUUCUCAGCAGCACUCUGCACACUCUCAACCAGUCUCAUUCAGGUGCUCCACAUCAUACACACUUAAAUCAUCACCCCACCUCUCACUCAGAUCUUCUUGGAAGUUCUCCUUACCUACAUCGCUCAGUCUUCACCUCUUUUUACCUGCCACUCUCACUUCACUCCCAUCCUGCAUCAGGCACUCCAUAACCACCAUAUUGUGGUCAGACAUAAUAUCCACCAUACCAUCUUCAUUAACUAACUUUUAAGGCAAGGAAUUAAUUACAAAUUAUUCAAUUUUUAAGGCAGCUGUCCUCGUAUGCUUCUUGGUGAAUAAGAAUUCUACCAAUAACUAUGGACUAGUAGUUAUAAAAUAAUGUUAAAUUAGAGGCAUGGAUGCAUAAAAAAUACUGUUAAAUUGGCAUGGAUGCACUUUUUAAGUGUUCACAAGAGUAGACAACAAGCACAGCCAGAAGACCAAGAUGUAAUGUCUCGCAAAAAUAAAAUGAACAUCAUUUAAAUGAUAAAUAAGAAUUAUUUUAUUACUUUCCUUGCU